AAUCUGAGCUCCCUAAGGCCAGACCAAUUUUAUUUCUUGUUUUACGGAUCCGCUGGUCGUAUUUUUUCAAGAAUAAUAAUUAGAAAAAAAAUUCUCCGCUCAAAAAAUAAAAUCCUUAUGUUUUUAUUGGGCAAAAAUGUAAACUUACAGGAUUUUGUUUUUUGAUUGUUUAUUGCCCCAUAUACACUGCAUAAAUUGCCAGAAGUAAAGUACUUUUAAUAUUUACAAUGUUUUUCCCGCCUGCCUUUAGUUUCUUUAGGGCACAACUCUGU